rnacentral:rRNA from 1 species
GAUGAACGCUAGCGGCAGGCCUAAUACAUGCAAGUCGAACGGGAUCUGAGGGUAGCUUGCUACCCGAUUUGAGAGUGGCGCACGGGUGCGUAACGCGUGAGCGACCUACCCAUAUCAGGGGGAUAGCCCGAAGAAAUUCGGAUUAACACCGCAUAAUAAUACGCUAACACAUGUUGAUGUAUUUAAAUAUUUAUAGGAUAUGGAUGGGCUCGCGUGACAUUGGCUAGUUGGUAAGGUAACGGCUUACCAAGGCGACGAUGUCUAUGGGCUCUGAGAGGGGAAUCCCCCAAACUGGUAUUGAGAAACGGACCAGACUCCUACAGGAGGCAGCAGUACGGAAUAUUGGUCAAUGGGCGCAAGCCUGAACCAGCCAUGCCGCGUGCAGGAUGACUGCCCUAUGGGUUGUAAACUGCUUUUGUUAGGGAAUAAACCUUCUUACGUGUAAGGAGCUGAAUGUACCUAAAGAAUAAGGAUCGGCUAACUCCGUGCCAGCCGCCGCAGUAACAC